UACAGAGGAGCCAAGCGUUGUCCGGAUUGACUGGGCGUAAAGCGCACGCAGGCGGACGCGCGCGUGGGGUGUGAAAUCUGGCCGCUUAACGGCCAGGCGCCAUCCCAUACGGCGUGUCUGGAGGGCUGCAGAGGUCGAUGGAAUUGCCGGUGUAGUGGUGAAAUGCGUAGAGAUCGGGGGGAACACCAGUGGCGAAGGCGACUUCCUGGCCUGUUCUUGACGCUGAGGCGCGAAAGCUAGGGUAGCAAACGGG
rnacentral:rRNA from 1 species